rnacentral:rRNA from 1 species
AGAACGAACGCUGGCGGCAUGCCUAACACAUGCAAGUCGAACGCUCUUGGGGCUUCGGUCUCAGGGGAGUGGCGCACGGGUGAGUAGCGCGUGGGAACCUGCCCUGUUGUGGGGGAUAACCGAGGGAAACUUCGGCUAAUACCGCAUAAGCCGGUUGUCUUGAAGGAGAUGGCCGGGAAAGAUUUAUCGCGACAGGAGGGGCCCGCGUCGGAUUAGCUAGUUGGUGGGGUAACGGCCCACCAAGGCGGUGAUCCGUAGCUGGUCUGAGAGGAUGAUCAGCCACACUGGGACUGAGACACGGCCCAGACUCCUACGGGAGGCAGCAGUGGGGAAUAUUGGACAAUGGGCGCAAGCCUGAUCCAGCAAUGCCGCGUGAGUGAUGAAGGCCUUAGGGUUGUAAAGCUCUUUCGCCCGCGACGAUGAUGACGGUAGCGGGAGAAGAAGCCCGGCUAACUUCGUGCCAGCAGCCGC